UUGUUUUUAACUCUGAUUACCUUGGACCUACUUUCUUGCUGGCACUCACGGCCGCCCACAUACCCGCCCUCCAGAGCGGCCGUGGACCUGCUCGAGCACUCUCUCCUCCCUGCUGCUGCAGCAGCUGGCUCUUGGCUGUGGACCUGUUUCGCAGCCACCACCAUCAGGCUUCCUGUGCUCAGUAUUUGUUUUGCUUUGAAGGGUUUGACAAGAUGAGAAUAUACAUCCACGGACGUACGUGAUUUGGAGCCGCAGGACAGCAGUGCCGCCGUACGCCCUCGGAGCAGUGCAUGGCUCCAGGGGAACGCAAUCGAUGCCGUGAUUAGCUAUGCUAAAUUGAAAUCUUAUGAUCUUCAGGGUGGUUACAUAAAAUGCCAAUUAGUAUGUGGUCUACAUUGUUUCAUAUAAAUGUUUUUCAUUAUAUUUUGCUGUCAGCAAAUGCUGGUGUGAAACCAGUUUUCAUCCCUCAUAUGGCCACCAUGAGGAGGUUGGGAAACGCACUAGCAUGACUUGAGUCUUCCUUUAGACAGAUACGUUACCUUGUUUACCCAGCAUCGGUGCAGAGUCUUUCCUUUGGGCAGUGGGAUGGACAAUUGGGUGUUGGAAGGGAGAAGCCCAGAGGUCCGGGACCUCCUGCGGUUCGCACAGGACCCACCAAGGCUGUCCUGACAAGUGCACCCAGCACUUCUGAUCCACCGCAACUGCUGUUCAUUGCCUCUUCGAGCCUCAUUUUUUAUAUCAUUGCUGUGUUGAUAAAGUGCUGAGUCACAGGAUCCAAGAAAUACUGUGCAAAAUAGCCGCAAGGGACUCCUAUUUGUUAAGAUGUCUGGGAUGCUUCCUAUUAAAUAAUAACAAAAUGCUGUAAUAAUAACUUGGCAGCUCUCUGCCUUGUCAGUCUGAUGCUCAGUGUGGGUUUGCUUUCCUAAAAUUCCUUUAAGUAUCUUGACAAAUUGCACAAUAGGAAGGAAGGCCGCUUCACUCUUGACUUUUGCCUGAAUAAGUUCUCAUAAUGAGCAACUAUCUUGAAGAGAUGGAAAGGAUGAGAAAUACGUCUUUGAAUCACGUUAACUGGCAAUAGUAUGGGUUAUUACACACUAUAUUUCCUGAUAAAGCAGGGACAGGUUAUGGAUUUUGCAGAGCUGUGGUCUUGGCAGGUUGCACCAGACGUGUAGGUAUGGGUUAGUAGUGGCUUGUUUCACCUCUUGGGGAAGCAUUACAAAACCACCUAUGUUUAAAAAUAAGAAGAAAAAAGCAGGAGUCGUAACUGCCGGCAUGUUUUCCAUCUACUUUGCAUCCCUAUUUCAUGAUCUCAGUUGAAAGUCUUUAGUAAUGACAAGUUUCAAUUCAUAUACAGUGUCAAUGCCUUAAGUGAGUUUGCAUGGGUGUAUCUGUGGGCAUUAUUUUGUUUUCGUUGUUCAUUAGAGGAAUUUAUCUGCUGCCUGCUAGACUUAUCAGCUUUCCUGGCCUAGGUGGCACCAGUUGUCUCUGCUAGAGAUCCCUGCAUGGCAGAGCACGCUUUUCACAAAACUUCAGUGCUGGGAAAUCUUUCCAGAGUAUUACAUUUUUUUUCCCCUGAAUUCAGGGUGAUGGAAGUUGAACCAGAUGAAAGAUCAAAUACAUUGUGCUGACUCCAAUACGUGGGGUUUUUUUGAUGAGAAACACCAUGCAGAGGGUUUGUUAAAAUGUUUUGCGCGGCUUACUACUAUACUUUGUAAAUCUUCUGAACAACCUGAUCCUCAGUUGCAGAAUUUCAAUCUCCCGGCAUUUCAGACAGUCUGUAUUUGCCACAUUUUCUGCUUUACUGCUUUUCCUGCAGUUGCUCCUUAAAUAGUCAGGGAUUUUCGUGUUCCCUUUGAGGUCGCCUGCGUAUCUGUCAGUGGCCACAUUGAGGCCAUCAUCCCACCCCUGUUAAUCAGGAACAAUUGAGGAGAGCUGUGGAUGGGCACACAGCCCCGUGGGACCGGGCGAUGGCGGAGGCAUGGAGCACCACCUGUAUGAGGGAUCGCAGAGCAGGUGCUCUCGCAGAUGCUUUUGCUUGGGACGUGCCCAAGCCAUGGUCGCUGGGCUGGCAGAGCAUUUCAGGAGCCAUCCUUACGGGGUCACUGUAUGUCACACUCCUCCCUCGGCAGCCACCUCUCAGGGACAGGAUGCUGGUGACGAAGCUCAUCUGCUCUGGUGGGGCAGCUCUUAUGGUCUUAUUAGUUUCCGGAGUGUAAGGCAUCCUGUUUUUUUCUCUGCAAGAAAAUAAUGCAAUAAAUCUUUAAUAAAACAGAGAAAUCUCCAGGAAACCUACUGCAGGAAUAUGUGUAAAGCCAGAGGCGAUAGCUGAGUUACAACACCCAAACAAGCCUUUCACCUAUUCUGAUAAACAAAGACCUCAAGAGACCCUGAUUUCACGCCAUACAUCUGAAAUGCCCUAUGAAACCAACAUCACUGCAAUGUGUUCCUCUCCUGCUAUUAAAAACCCUGUCCCAUGUA